rnacentral:rRNA from 1 species
ACGGGGUGCAGCAGGCGCGAAAACUUCACAAUGUGCGAAAGCACGAUGAGGGAAUCCCAAGUGCUUGCACGUAAGUGUAAGCUGUUUCUAUGUUUAAAACGCAUGGAGAGUAAGGGCUGGGUAAGACGGGUGCCAGCCGCCGCGGUAAUACCUGCAGCUCGAGUGGUGGCCGCUAUUAUUGGGCCUAAAACGUCCGUAGCCGGCUUAAUAAAUGCCUGGGUAAAUCGUGUAGCUUAACUAUACGAAUUCUGGGUAGACUGUUAAGCUUGAGAUCGGGAGAAGUUAGAGGUACUCCUGGGGUAGAGGUGAAAUUCUGUAAUCCUAGGGGGACCACCAGUGGCGAAGGCGUCUAACUAGAACGAGUCUGACGGUGAGGGACGAAGCCCUGGGUCGCAAACCGGAUUAGAUACCCGGGUAGUCCAGGGUGUAAACGCUGCUUGCUUGAUGUUAGUCGGGCUCCGAGCCCGAUUAGUGUCGGAGAGAAGUUGUUAAGCAAGCUGCCUGGGAAGUACGGUCGCAAGGCUGAAACUUAAAGGAAUUGGCGGGGGAGCACAGCAACGGGUGGAGCGUGCGGUUUAAUUGGAUUCAACGCCGGAAAACUCACCGGAGGCGACGGUUACAUGAAGGCCAGGCUGAUGACCUUGCCAGAUUUUCCGAGAG